GACGAACGCUGGCGGCGUGCUUAACACAUGCAAGUCGAACGGAAAGGCCCUGCUUUUGUGGGGUGCUCGAGUGGCGAACGGGUGAGUAACACGUGAGUAACCUGCCCUUGACUUUGGGAUAACUUCAGGAAACUGGGGCUAAUACCUGAUAGGAGCUCCUGCUGCAUGGUGGGGGUUGGAAAGUUUCGGCGGUUGGGGAUGGAAUCGCGGCUUAUCAGCUUGUUGGUGGGGUAGUGGCUUACCAAGGCUUUGGCGGGUAGCCGGCCUGAGAGGGUGACCGGACACAUUGGGACUGAGAUACGGCCCAGAAUCCUACGGGAGGCAGCAGUGGGGAAUAUUGCACAAUGGGCGGAAGCCUGAUGCAGCAACGCCGCGUGCGGGAUGACGGCUUUCGGGUUGUAAACCGCUUUAGCCUGUGACGAAGCGUGAGUGACGGUAAUGGGUAAAGAAGCACCGGCUAACUACGUG
rnacentral:rRNA from 1 species